AAACCGGAUUCGGACCGGUCGGUUUCCCUCGGGUGAUCAUAGUUUGUCCAGCCCUAAUCAUUUGUGUUGAUUGGUUAUUAUUCUUGUUGUUGGCUUUAAUAUUUCCAUGUUUAGAUCUAUUUUGCAUGUGUAUUUUCAAUCUAUUUAUUUUAAACUUGUAUUUUUUUGAAGCUAGUCAUUUUCCAGGUUUAGAUCUAUUUAUUUUCAUGUUUAGAUCUAUUUUGAAUUUGUAUUUUCAAUCUAUUUAUCUUCACCUUGUAUUUUUUUGAUUUUCCAGGUUUAGAUCUAUUUAUUUCCAGGUUUAGAUCUAUUUUUCAUUUGUUUUUUCAAUCUAUUUUGCUUAAUCUUGUAUUUUUUUGAAGCGGUUCAUUUUUCAGGUUUAGAUCUAUUUUGCCUUUGUUUUUCCUAAAGUUUGUCUCUUGGUACUUUAAAUCUUCUCCUUGACUAUGCAAUACUGUUAUACAACUAUUUCAUUAGUUACUGAAUGUGCAGUUUAUACAUAUGAUAUUGUGCAGGGAAUGUAAAUAUAUGAAGUGUAUACAUAUUUCAUUUGUUUUGAUGUAGGUUUUAUUAUACAAUAUCAGUGAAGAUAAAAGAUAUUAUUAGCUCAUGUCUGAAAGUGAAAAUGUGAAGCAUAUCGAAAUAAAAUGGUGAAAAUUGGAGGCAAAUCAAAAUAUUCCAGAGAUAUGAUGAAAGAUGAAUUCCCAGGGUGGGAAGCAAUUAUGGACAAAUUUUUAAUUUUUAAUUUUAAUAGUUGUAAGAAAGAUUUAGAUUUAAUUGCGUGUCUAUUUAUAUAAGGUUAAAAUAAUUUUA